rnacentral:ncRNA from 1 species
GACUGGGGCAGUACAUCUGUCAAAUCGUAACGCAUGUGUCCUAAGGCUAGCUCAGAGAGUACGGAAACCUCUCGUAGAGCAAAAGGGCAAAAGCUCGCUUGAUCUUGAUUUCCAGUACGAAUCACUGGAUCACUGGAUUGG